rnacentral:tmRNA from 1 species
GUUGGAAUCGAAAUUUCAGAAGAAAAUAUAGAAAAGUUACAAAAUGAUCCAAAUGUAAUUGAUUAUCGUUACAGCGAAAAAGGCGAAUACCAAAAUGCUUAAAGCCUAAGAAACUGUGAAUCGUGCUCUCGCUCAGCAUCGCCCAUGUGCCGGGAUGAGGGCCCAACCUAUAGUGGGAUACGCCGGUUAGUCUCCGCCUGGGGGUAAACGGAAGAAGACAAUCAGGCUGACCCGAAGGGAAUCCGGUUACGGGGAGUUCCUAGGGUGACAUCAAAACUGUGACUACACCCGUAGAAGCCUAUGUUGCGUUAUCUUCGGACAGGGGUUCGACUCCCCUC